UGGACAGAGUGACAUGUGUAUCAUAUUAAAUGUAAAGCUAUGACAUAUUUAAAGGGAACACCUUCUUAUUUGCUGUCAAACAUAGAGAUUGAAAAAUGCCCAAUGCAGAUGAGGGGACAGAUGUCACUGUAGGAGGUGCACAGACCUGUAAAUGUGGUUUUCAUGUAAAGAACGUAUCUGAAGUCUCUUAUGACGUGCUGGUGUUGAAUUCUGUUGUAUUACAAAUUGUUUUUAUCUUGUCUGUGAACCUGUAGCCUUCCAGUUCGCUCCUUGUCUCAGUGCAUCCAGGAACCUCAUGUACAGUGGCACAGCAGCCAGGGCCUUCACCUGGUGAGACGCUACAGCCAGGACUCUACCUGCAGAUUCACCACCACCACAACCACCAAAGGAUGUCUCCUCAGCUAGUGGUGAACCUUGGCAUCAACCUCUGAUGUAUCCAGCCCCAUCACAAGCCCCACAAAAAGAAAAGUGUCACCACCUGGACGCACACUGUUUCUCCUGUGUCUCUUCCUCCUUCUCCUGUUCCUGUAUCAAGCUUCUUCCAUUCUGCCUCCACUGCUACAGCUGAACCCCCUCUGCUCCUCUCACCUUGCCAUUGCCUAAAAAUGUGGGGAUCGUACCUGUUUCAGAUGCUGCCUGGCUGCCCACAAAGCUGCUAAAGACAUUUCAGCAGCCCUGUGGAAAGACCAGCGUCUUUUCAAAGACCUGAAACUGUGGUAUGAUCCACCAGAGUCCUCCCUCAUAUACCAUCAGGUCCUCACUCCUGAGCGCUUCUUCCACCACGACUUUUCUCAUGGAAAAAACAUGGUGUGACAUUCUUUGUCAAUAUGUAUAUAAUGUAAAUAGUUUUAAAAGAAAAAAGUCUUAAUUUGCUGCUGUUCUAUUUUGUUUUUUAACUUUAACACACGUGUUUGUGAGUGUGUGUGUGAAAUUUGUAAUAAAUUUGUUACAUUUCAGUGACUGUCUUCAUUUUUUACUGCAAAAAUGCAAACUCACUCAUAGAAAACGAUAACAUUGUUGCAAUAC